UGACUCGUUCAUACUACAGUGAUCACACCAGAUCCCAUCAGAACUCUGAAGUUAAGCACUGUUAGGCUUAGUCUAGUACUGAGGUGGGAGGCCGUUCGGGAACCCUGAGUGACGAGUUAU